AAACCAUGCACCGAAGCUGCGGCAGCGACACUAUGUGUUGUUGGGUAGGGGAGCGUUCUGUAAGCCUGUGAAGGUGGCCUGUGAGGGUUGCUGGAGGUAUCAGAAGUGCGAAUGCUGACAUAAGUAACGAUAAAGCGGGUGAAAAGCCCGCUCGCCGGAAGACCAAGGGUUCCUGUCCAACGUUAAUCGGGGCAGGGUGAGUCGACCCCUAAGGCGAGGCCGAAAGGCGUAGUCGAUGGGAAACAGGUUAAUAUUCCUGUACUUGGUGUUACUGCGAAGGGGGGACGGAGAAGGCUAUGUUGGCCGGGCGACGGUUGUCCCGGUUUAAGCGUGUAGGCUGGUUUUCCAGGCAAAUCCGGAAAACCAAGGCUGAGGCGUGAUGACGAGGCACUACGGUGCUGAAGUGACAAAUGCCCUGCUUCCAGGAAAAGCCUCUAAGCAUCAGGUAACAUCAAAUCGUACCCCAAACCGACACAGGUGGUCAGGUAGAGAAUACCAAGGCGCUUGAGAGAACUCGGGUGAAGGAACUAGGCAAAAUGGUGCCGUAACUUCGGGAGAAGGCACGCUGAUAUGUAGGUGAAGCGACUUGCUCGUGGAGCUGAAAUCAGUCGAAGAUACCAGCUGGCUGCAACUGUUUAUUAAAAACACAGCACUGUGCAAACACGAAAGUGGACGUAUACGGUGUGACGCCUGCCCGGUGCCGGAAGGUUAAUUGAUGGGGUUAGCGGUAACGCGAAGCUCUUGAUCGAAGCCCCGGUAAACGGCGGCCGUAACUAUAACGGUCCUAAGGUAGCGAAAUUCCUUGUCGGGUAAGUUCCGACCUGCACGAAUGGCGUAAUGAUGGCCAGGCUGUCUCCACCCGAGACUCAGUGAAAUUGAACUCGCUGUGAAGAUGCAGUGUACCCGCGGCAAGACGGAAAGACCCCGUGAACCUUUACUAUAGCUUGACACUGAACAUUGAGCCUUGAUGUGUAGGAUAGGUGGGAGGCUUUGAAGUGUGGACGCCAGUCUGCAUGGAGCCGACCUUGAAAUACCACCCUUUAAUGUUUGAUGUUCUAACGUUGGCCCCUAAUCGGGGUUGCGGACAGUGUCUGGUGGGUAGUUUGACUGGGGCGGUCUCCUCCUAAAGAGUAACGGAGGAGCACGAAGGUUGGCUAAUCCUGGUCGGACAUCAGGAGGUUAGUGCAAUGGCAUAAGCCAGCUUGACUGCGAGCGUGACGGCGCGAGCAGGUGCGAAAGCAGGUCAUAGUGAUCCGGUGGUUCUGAAUGGAAGGGCCAUCGCUCAACGGAUAAAAGGUACUCCGGGGAUAACAGGCUGAUACCGCCCAAGAGUUCAUAUCGACGGCGGUGUUUGGCACCUCGAUGUCGGCUCAUCACAUCCUGGGGCUGAAGUAGGUCCCAAGGGUAUGGCUGUUCGCCAUUUAAAGUGGUACGCGAGCUGGGUUUAGAACGUCGUGAGACAGUUCGGUCCCUAUCUGCCGUGGGCGCUGGAGAACUGAGGGGGGCUGCUCCUAGUACGAGAGGACCGGAGUGGACGCAUCACUGGUGUUCGGGUUGUCAUGCCAAUGGCACUGCCCGGUAGCUAAAUGCGGAAGAGAUAAGUGCUGAAAGCAUCUAAGCACGAAACUUGCCCCGAGAUGAGUUCUCCCUGAGACUUAGAGUCUCCUGAAGGAACGUUGAAGACGACGACGUUGAUAGGCCGGGUGUGUAAGCGCAGCGAUGCGUUGAGCUAACCGGUACUAAUGAACCGUGAGGCUUAACCUUACAACGCCGAAG
rnacentral:rRNA from 1 species